rnacentral:rRNA from 1 species
UACGGAGGAUCCAAGCGUUAUCCGGAAUCAUUGGGUUUAAAGGGUCCGUAGGCGGGCCUGUAAGUCAGUGGUGAAAUCCGGCGGCUUAACCGUCGAACUGCCAUUGAUACUGCAGGCCUUGAAUUAUUGGGAAGUAACUAGAAUAUGUAGUGUAGCGGUGAAAUGCUUAGAUAUUACAUGGAAUACCGAUUGCGAAGGCAGGUUACUAUCAAUACAUUGACGCUGAUGGACGAAAGCGUGGGGAGCGAACAGG